GCUUCGCUGGAGUAGUGGUUAACUCGUCUGCUUCCCACAGGCUUUGUCCUUGACAAAGCUCUAGAAAGCAGGAUACAAGGGUUCGAACCCCUUGCGUAGCA